GCUGGCGGCGUGCCUAAUACAUGCAAGUCGAGCGAACAGAUAAGGAGCUUGCUCCUUUGACGUUAGCGGCGGACGGGUGAGUAACACGUGGGUAACCUACCUAUAAGACUGGAAUAACUCCGGGAAACCGGGGCUAAUGCCGGAUAACAUAUAGAACCGCAUGGUUCUAUAGUGAAAGAUGGUUUUGCUAUCACUUAUAGAUGGACCCGCGCCGUAUUAGCUAGUUGGUAAGGUAAUGGCUUACCAAGGCGACGAUACGUAGCCGACCUGAGAGGGUGAUCGGCCACACUGGAACUGAGACACGGUCCAGACUCCUACGGGAGGCAGCAGUAGGGAAUCUUCCGCAAUGGGCGAAAGCCUGACGGAGCAACGCCGCGUGAGUGAUGAAGGGUUUCGGCUCGUAAAACUCUGUUAUUAGGGAAGAACAUAUGUGUAAGUAACUGUGCACAUCUGAC
rnacentral:rRNA from 1 species